rnacentral:rRNA from 1 species
UACAGAGGGUGCGAGCGUUGUCCGGAAUCACUGGGGCGUAAAGGGCGCGUAGGUGGCGCGACAAGUCAGUGGUGAAAGUUCGACGCUCAACGUCGAAUCGGCCACUGAUACUGUUGGGCUUGAGCACUGUAGAGGCUAAUGGAAUUCCGGGUGUAGCGGUGGAAUGCGUAGAGAUCCGGAAGAACACCGGUGGCGAAGGCGGUUAGCUGG